rnacentral:rRNA from 1 species
UGGGGAAUUUUGCACAAUGGAGGAAACUCUGAUGCAGCGACGCCGCGUGAGUGAUGAAGAUCUUCGGAUUGUAAAACUCUGUCCUUAGUGAAGAUAAUGACAGUAACUAAGAAGCAAGCCCUGGCUAAAUACGUGCCAGCAGCCGCGGUAAUACGUAUGGGGCAAGCGUUGUCCGGAAUUAUUGGGCGUAAAGGGUACGUAGGCGGUUUAAUAAGUCCUAAUUAAAAGGCUAUGGCUCAACCAUAGUAUGGUUAGGAAACUGUUGAACUUGAGUAGAUGAGGGGAAAGGGGAAUUCCAUGUGUAGCGGUGAAAUGCGUAGAUAUAUGGAGGAACACCAAUGGCGAAGGCAACUUUCUGGAAUCAAACUGACGCUGAGGUACGAAGGCGUGGGGAGCAAACAGG